UAAGCGAAGCUAUUGAUAAUACUGAAAUUAAAUUACAGUAGGCAUUAUAUAAAACAAAUUAAAUUUCUUCGUAUGUUUAAAUACUUCCGAGAAUAAUCAAGAUCAAAUUUAUUACCAAACGUUAAAAGAUUGGUAGUUUAUAAUGUAAUUUUUAUUUUAGAACAUUAAUUUGUUAAAACAUUUUGGGCAUCUUGUAACUGAAUGCAUCGAAUAUAUUUAUCUUGAAACGGGACUGUUAAACAAAAAUAAAUCAAAGAACUUAAAAUUCAUAAUUUAAUACAAUAUUGAAAUAUUUAAUAUUUGUAUGUUAUAUGAUGAAUACAUUUUAAUCAGACUCGCACAUUAUCCCCUACCAAAUUAUUUAAAACAACAUAAGCUACAUAAUUUAAACAGCUUCGUGUUUUCGACAAAUUUCGUUUAAGUUUUAAAUUCAAACCAUUAUGAAAAAAAUUACAUGUACAUCAAUAUAAAAGACGACAAUGACAAAGAACUUCAAUCGGUACGAAAAUUUCAAAAUAUUUUGAACAUUACAUCCAGUGUAGAAAAUGGUAGUAUAAAUACGUAUAGUACAUACCGGUAAUUUAAUGGCUAUUUAUGCAGUAUUUCCGUCACAUAACUCCCAUCAUGGUGCACCGAGAACUGGUGUUUGAUAAGAGCAGGCUUCUAAUUAUGUUUGAGUUCACGCGGUGUUUGUUUGAGUCAGUAUCACACUUUUGACGGAUAAUGGUAUCGUGGAAAAACCGCGAAACCAAAAAUGCGAAUGUCAAAAUUACGACGACAAAAUAGCUAGCAUAAAAUAGCUUGUUCAAAACAACUCAAUAAAUGGUCUUCGUUCAUGAUUCAAUAAAAAUUUGAUGAUAUCGAGUGGAAAAAGUUUCAGGUACAAAACUUUUAGUACUAAACAUAGACAAUUUCGCAAAGUACAAUUUUCCGUGAC